CCCCUCCAUCCAAACCGAAGGAAAAACGUGUCUGCAGUUCCGUUUUGCCACUGCACAUCUCUUUCGUUGCCGGAUUCCUAGAAUUCUUCGCAUGGUGAUGCGGUAAGGAUCAUGGACUUAUCUAUUCUUUACUGAGAAACACAUGUUCAUCAUGUCCCCUCUCUGUUGUGAUGUUUUAAGGAAAAUCAUGGUGAUGUAGUGUGCCAAGGAGAUCACUCCGGUGUGUGUGUCGCCAUCUCUCUGAACCUGCAGUGGAAUCCUAUCAACCACCAUUACCGCUGCUUCUGUACAUGACAUGAUCAUCUCUGAAGUGAAAUUGGCGCCAUCUCAUUGAUCACCAACCGUUUGCUGUCCAUCAUUGGUGUUAGACGCCAUUGAGGUCUUGUCCAGCAACCAUGAACCUCGAUGUGAGCCCCUCUCCCCUGUCCCCAUCUAGUAUACAUGUUAUUUUCCAUAAAUUGUGAGCCACAGUCCAAGUUUGAUCGAAUUCCGAUAAAAUUUCCCCCCAACUGUGUUGUUGUCCGUUUUGGACAGCGGUGCUGUUGGCGAUCAGCGUUCAUAAUCUCCAUGGAUCCAAUAAGCUCUAUGAUGAAUCCUUUGACUAUAACAUCACUUAUGUAUUUACACACACCUCUGCAAAAUUUCAUAGCAAAAGACUUCAAGAUGAAAGAUAUAUCAUCGUCUUUUUAGUGCUUGCUGUCCCUGCGGUUUCAGCAGCGUUCGCCUCUGUUUGGUAGUAUUGUUUCCCAUAAUACAUUAGUCAAAUCAUCAAACCCUUCAUAUAGCAUGUGUCUCUUAUUGUUGCACAUGCCUCUGCAAAGUUUCAUGUCUAUAGGGUCAAAUAUGCAAGAGAUAUGAUCCUAUCUUUUGCUCACUGUCCCUGCAGCCCCGCAGCAAGAGUUCCUACUAAUUGGCAUGUGUAUUCCCAUUAUUCAGUCACUCCAGUGACCGUGUCCUUCAACAAAAAUGUGUCUCAUAUCCUUGCCCACGUCUCUGAGAAGUUUUGUGGCCAUAGGAUCAAAGAUGAACCACAUAUCUUUCUUUUAGUCCUCGCUGUCCCUGCUGCCCUGCAGCUGCGCUGCAGCCGAUUGGCGAGUGCGUUCCCAAAAAUCCACUACUCUGUUUGUCAAAUCCUUUAACCCACCUAUGUAUCAUGAACUUGAACAUGCCUCUGCAAGUUGGUUUUUCCAUGGGUGCCAUGAUGGGCGUGAUAUAGAGGCCACAGUACUGCUACAGCUGCUGUCCAGCAGACAGCAGUGCAAGUCCUUUUGCAGUCAUGUUUCCCGGUCCUCCAAUACUUAGAAUAACUUGUUCUUUUGCCACAAUAUACUCCAUACAGUCCACAACAAGCCCACAAAAAUGAUCUCAAUUUGGUGCUGCUAAGACCAUGUUCUUUGUAAUCAUAACCACCACUGUCCGCCACUGGGUUUGCUCAACCGGUGUGCAAAUCGGCAUCAUCGUGCUUCCCUUUUAUGUAACAUUUCACUAGUGCAGCCAUUAGUCAUAAUUUGUUCCAUGUAUACUCUUCACAAAUCCAUAGUCAUCAAAAAAUCUUCUAUA